AAUUUCGCGCCGCGCUACUCCUGAUGUAUUGAAAGUAGUUACAGUUAACGGUUUUGCGAAAUUGUGCUAUUUUACAAGAUAUGCAUCUACAACCAAGAGCGACAAUCGUUUAGUAUUAGCCUCCACGAAUCUGAUGAACAACACCUUAGUCUAAUCUCACACAUCUCUUCCGUAAUAUGUUCUGGAUUAUAUUUAAAGGUAGCCCAUCAUUUUAUACCUGCAUGAAAACGACAUGAUAUAAACAGUCCCUCAGACUUUUCCAUGCGUAAAAAAUGCAACGGUGGAAGGCAGCCUUAACACUGUUUCCACUGCGCUUAUCUCUUGUUAGUCCAGUUAAAAGCAGGUUAUAAAGAUCAUUUUAUAAGUUUACAUGCAGGGGGGGGUGAUGAGCCGUUCUUAGUGCACUUACUAGCUUUUUGAUGACAAAUGCAAAUGACGAAUGGUUAUGGUCCAAGUAUUUUAUUGUAGCGUUACAUCACUGACUGCCACUAAUUCUCUGAGGUACUUUGCAAUACAGGAAGGUUGCUCUGUUGAAAAUGACCAACUGAGACGAUUGAAGAAAAAGAACACGAUUUUGACUGUUUAAUGAUUAAGAAAUUAAGCUCAAGAAAUUUAACUGUAAAUCAUUUAAAAUCACCAACUGCGUGAACACAAUUGUACAUGUUAAUAACCACAGCAUGGAACGCAAAAGAAAUGUAGAUUUGCUCAUAAAAUGAAAGUUAAUAAUGGAGAUGUUUGCGUGUUAAAGGUUGUCGUUUUCAUCUUGUUGAGAACAGUGUUCGUUUUUAGCCUUCGAAAAAAAUAACUUCUACCACGGAUAAAUAGAAACUGAAGAAUCAAUCAAGUCUACCAGAAACACAUGAAGCGAUGUGAAUACACUACAAGACAAUCGUUAGUUCCUGAAAGACGCCAAGGUAAGAUGGUUGAUUGGUUUUACAUAUAUUGUGAAUGAGAAAUACUGACCAUGAUUAUAAACAGACCACUUUGUAACAGACCACUGUAUAGCUAUAAGACCUCUGUCAAAUCGUUAACUACAUCACCAUCAAUAUCUUGUGCUUGGUUGUAAAAUGUGAACAGAAUGUAAUGAAACAUUAUGUAUUAUUUGCUGUCGACAAACAUGGAGUUGAAUGCUUUUUGUGACAUCAUUGAGUGGGAGUUCUAAAUCACACCUUUGCGGCACUUCACUUAAAUAAGAGCUUGAUUUUGAUAUGGAUGUUUGCAAGAAAGCAAACUUCUAGUUCAAAAACCAAGGUCAAAAAAGAUCUUGUCCAAAGUUGAUUAAACGAAAAUAUUUAAGCAGGCUGUUUAUAUGAAUAACCUAGCGUUCAGUUCAAAACUGUAUAUAACUUCAGUAUUUUAUUCUAGGGUACUUUCACAUAUUCUCAGCUACGUUUAGGCAAUUAGGAUCGAUUCAAAAUAUUGAGACAGAGCAAGUGAAAUUAUAUGCAUUUUCCCGACAAUACCGGACUAGUCUCCAGGCCACUUUUACGCGUCUUUGCAUUUUGUGACGUCAUUGUGGCACUUCACUUGAAUAAGAGCUAAUGUUUUGAACGUUUUCCCUAAAUAUUUCCAUUGAUUGAGAAAUUACUUUCACAUUGACCGGUAAUAACACAAUAUCUAUGUCAAACUCAUGAAUGUGAGUACGUUUUUUGAAUACGGGCGAUAGAAUAAUUAUGGUAAAACUGUAUGACUCGUCUUUGAAAUAAAGCAUUUUGACUCUGAUUUGGUUUUGAGAAACAUAGACAAAAUGCAUUGCCAAUAUUUUUCACCUAACAGGUAAUGGCGUCUUACAUCACUGGUUAUGACGAUGAACUAUUUCAACACCCCGUUGGUCCUAGUCUUCAUUGCUGUAUUUGCACCAAUGUCAUCAAAGACCCGGUCAUGUGUCGCCAUAAUGAACACAUAUUUUGUCGUGGUUGUAUCACCAGACAUCUCAUGAACUCUCAGACAUGCCCGACAUGUAUGGAACCACUCACUGUCGAUACUCUGAAAGUGCCUCGGACCUUUGCGAAAUUGCUUUCUGAACUUAAGAUCCGUUGUGAGUUCUUCAACCGUGGUUGCGGGAAGUUUGUUGAACUGGGAGAUCUUGAAAAGCAUGUUGCAGAGUGUGGGUUUGCUCCAGCAUUCUGCUCGAAUGAAGGUUGUGGACGGGAAGUCAACAAGCAAGAUUUACUUCAUCAUGAAACAGCUGUGUGUGAACAACACGUAGUUCAAUGUCAUAGUUGUAAUGACAUAAAACGAGAGAUGGAUGUCGUUAAAGACAACAUGGCGGCAAUUAAGGAAAAGGUGGAUGAAAAUUAUGUGAAUGGAAAAGAAGUUGCUGCAAAAGUUGAAUUGGUUCAAGGAAAACUAAACAAGCAGGAAGAAAGCAAUCGACGCCUGAAAGCGGACAAUGUUGAAAUGAAGAAAUGUUUGCAUGAAAUCACGAAGCAACUUGAACAAAUGACACAACAAAUAUCGCGUGAGGUUCCGGAAGAACACAUGAAGAAAGGAAGAGCAGAAGCUGUUGAAAAGGAAAGAGAGACGAUGGUUGUCGUCGCUGGAGGUUGGAAUGGUAUAUUUCUAAAUUCAGUGGAAAUGUUCAAUCCAGCAACAGCAACCUGGUCAUUACUACAUCAAAUGAAAGAAUUCCGUAAAUCACCAUCGUCAGUUAUUUACAACAACCAACUCCUUGUCACUGGCGGUUUUACUAGUCAUGGUUGGUCGCAGUCCAUGGAAAAAUUAUCAAUGAAUGAUAUUCAAGUUGAUCACGGAAUACGUUGGAAAUAUUUUCCUGCUGAGUUACCAGUGGCGUUACAAGGACACUGCACCGUGGUUCAUAACAGACGGUUGAUAGUGAUCGGAGGUCUUGAUGCAAAGGUAUAUGCUCCACAUUUGAAUAAAAUUAGUGAGAUUCCCCUUGUUCCACCUUAUAACCCAAAUCAGUUGACCACCAUGCCACAAGGAAGAUGCUAUCAUGGCGUUGCCAUGUUUGGUGAACAGAUCAUUAUUGUCGGCGGGAAAGAAAAUUUAUCUGAUACCUUAACUCCGCAAAGUGUUGUUAUGUAUGACAUCACUAAGAAUGAAUGUCAGGAGUUGGCUCCCCUCCCCUACCCCGUGAGUGAAAUGGCCACAGUCAAGUGGAACAGUGACAGUGUCAUCAUAAUGGGUGGUGGUGACAGCAACGACAAAGCAUUAAGCAAAGUUUUAAUGUACAACAUCAAGACCCAGAAGAGUCACAUGCUUCCUAACAUGAAGUACAAGAGGAAAGGAUGUGUGGCUGCAGUUGUCAGAGACACCGUGAUCGUGAUGGGAGGCCAGGAUGAAAGAGGAAAUUUCUUGAGGUCUGUGGAAAGUUUUAGAUUUGACAGAUACAGCUGGGAAGAACUUCCAGAAAUGCACCAUGCAAGAUACUGCGCUACUGCAGUGGCCUGGUAAUUACAUAUUACAGCAGAGACAACUGAUUAUUCACACCUGAAUCUGAAAUCUCUAGACUAGUCCCAGACUUUAUUAACAUGUCUUCAAAGUAUAAUUUGAUCAGUAAUUUAAUUUAAUUUUAUCUCUUAGUAUGACCUUGCUAAUAAUGGUUAUAACUUAAAUGACUGCUUCUGAUCUAUUCUCAGCCCUUAUAUUUCAUAUGAAGACAGCAACUCAAAUACUCAAUACCUAACUGUUGAAAUCAUGUAAAUUACUGAUGCAAAUAUAAAUGAGGCAACUCUUCAAUUUUCUCCUGACCAUAGACAGACAAUGUAGUAGAUUGUAGUCUUACACUGACUGUGCCAAUGUCACUAAUCAAGAUAUUGAUUGUAUUCGAAUCAGUUUUAUUUAAAUAACGAGAUAUUGAAACUUGAAACUUGUCAGAGACCAACUAACAUAAUCCUUUAGAAAGAUUUAGAAGGCCGUUAUAGAAGUCGAACUAAAACAUGAUCAGGUUAAAAAAUGAGACGUGAAGCAAGAAAUAAACUUUAUAAAGGCAUUUUAAGAUAUUUACUACAAGUGGAAACUCAAAAGCAGCCAUGAGCGAGAACUAAACAAUUAUAAUACCACGCGUCAAUAGCUCUCUUAGGGUCAUGAACUCAAGUCACAAGACUUGCAAAAUGUCGUAAAUCGUAAUCUCAUCCGCACUUCCGUAAAUCGAUUUAAUUCAAAGUCAAAGUAUAAAGACAAUAACUAAGCGAUAUUUUAUCUCAAUGGUUCUCUUGAAAACUUUAGCGAUGUGAAUACACAACAAGGGAAUCGUUAGUUCCUGAAGACGCCAAGGUAAUGGCGUCUUACACCACUGGUUAUGACGAUGAACUAUUUCAACACCCCGUUGGUCCUAGUCUUCAUUGCUGUAUUUGCACGAAUGUCAUCAAAGACCCGGUCAUGUGUCGCCAUAAUGAACAUAUAUAUUGUCGUGGUUGUAUCACCAGACAUCUCAUGAACUCUCAGACAUGCCCGACAUGUAUGGAACCACUCACUGUCGAUACUCUGAAAGUGCCUCGGACCAUUGCGAACUUGCUUUCUGAACUUAAGAUCCGUUGUGAGUUCUUCAAUCGUGGUUGCGGGAAGU